AUUGAACGCUGGCGGCAUGCCUUACACAUGCAAGUCGAACGGCAGCACGGGAGCAAUCCUGGUGGCGAGUGGCGAACGGGUGAGUAAUAUAUCGGAACGUGCCCAGUCGUGGGGAUAACGUAGCGAAAGCUACGCUAAUACCGCAUACGAUCUAUGGAUGAAAGCGGGGGAUCGCAAGACCUCGCGCGAUUGGAGCGGCCGAUAUCAGAUUAGGUAGUUGGUGAGGUAAAGGCUCACCAAGCCGACGAUCUGUAGCUGGUCUGAGAGGACGACCAGCCACACUGGGACUGAGACACGGCCCAGACUCCUACGGGAGGCAGCAGUGGGGAAUUUUGGACAAUGGGCGCAAGCCUGAUCCGGCAAUGCCGCGUGCAGGAUGAAGGCCUUC
rnacentral:rRNA from 1 species